rnacentral:rRNA from 1 species
GAUGAACGCUGGCGGCGUGCUUAACACAUGCAAGUCGAACGGGAAAUAUUUCAUUGAGACUUCGGUGGUUUUGAUUUAUUUCUAGUGUCGGACGGGUUAGUAACUCGUUGGUAACCUGCCUUAUUCAUGGGGAUAACUGUCAGAAAUGGCUGCUAAUACCGCCUAAGCGCACAGAGCUGCAUGGCUCAGUGUUAAAAGCUCGGGUGGUAUAAGAUGGACCCGCGUUGGAUUAGCUCGUUGGUGGGGUAACGGCCCACAAAGGCGACGAUCCAUAGCCGGCAUGAGAGGGAGAACGGACACAAUGGGACUGAGACACGGCACAGACUACUACGGGAGGCAGCAGUGGGGAAUAUUGCACAAUGGGGGAAAGCCUGAUGAAGCGACGCCGCGUGAAGGAAGAAGUAUCUAGGUAUGUAAAGUUCUAUAAGCAGGGAAGAUAGUGACGGUACCGGAAUAAGAAGCCCCGGCUAACUACGUG